rnacentral:tmRNA from 1 species
GUGCACCGGUUUCGACUGGUACGGUUCGGGGUAUGGGCUGCAGGUGGAGUGCCGAUCUCCUGAUUCGGCAAACAAUUAACUGCCGACAACGACAGUUUCGACUACGCCCUCGCGGCGUAAUUGACGUGGACCCGCCCCGCCGCUUUGAGGGACGGAAUCCGCGACGCAAUCAAGGCUGGCCGCGUUUUCGUUUCCGGAGGAAUCGCGGCGAGAACACCCGGAAUACGGAGAGGCCGCGUGCUGUCUAGCCAAGCCGUUCCCGACAAUAUAACAGGCGGCUAAACCUGUAGACGCCCUUAUUUCGCGUGUCAGGACGCGGGUUCAAUUCCCGCCACCUCCAG